rfam:Ciona savignyi cont_38904, whole genome shotgun sequence.
AGUUCCGUAGUGUAGUGGUUAUCACGUCUGCUUUACACGCAGAAGGUCAUGGGUUCGAACCCCAUCGGAACUA